GAUGAAGAACGCAGUGAAAUGCGAUAAGUAAUGUGAAUUGCAGAAUUCAGUGAAUCAUCGAAUCUUUGAACGCACAUUGCGCCCGCUAGUAUUCUGGCGGGCAUGCCUGUUCGAGCGUCAUUUCAACCAUCAAGCUCCUUAGCUUGUGUUGGGGACCUGCGGCUGCCGCAGCCCCCGAAAUGCAGUGGCGGGCUCGUUGUCACACCGAGUGCAGUAAUCAUUCUUCUCUCCGGGCGUGGCGGCGGGUUCCGGCCGUAAAAUCACCAAUUUAUCAAGGUUGACCUCGGAUCAGGUAGGAAUACCCGCUGAACUUAAGCAUAUCAAUAAGCGGAGGA
rnacentral:misc_RNA from 1 species